rnacentral:rRNA from 1 species
AUUGAACGCUGGCGGCAUGCUUUACACAUGCAAGUCGAACGGCAGCGCGGGCUUCGGCCUGGCGGCGAGUGGCGAACGGGUGAGUAAUACAUCGGAACGUGCCCAGUAUUUGGGGAUAGCUCGGCGAAAGCCGGAUUAAUACCGCAUACGACCUGAGGGUGAAAGCGGGGGAUCUUCGGACCUCGCGCUAUUGGAGCGGCCGAUGGCAGAUUAGCUAGUUGGUGGGGUAAAGGCCUACCAAGGCGACGAUCUGUAGCUGGUCUGAGAGGACGACCAGCCACACUGGGACUGAGGCACGGCCCAGACUCCUACGGGAGGCAGCAGUGGGGAAUUUUGGACAAUGGGCGAAAGCCUGAUCCAGCAAUGCCGCGUGUGUGAUGAAGGCCUUCGGGUUGUAAAGCACUUUUGGCGGGAACGAAAAGGACUGUGCCAAUACCACGGUUCGAUGACGGUACCCGCAGAAUAAGCACCGGCUAACUACGUG